rnacentral:rRNA from 2 species
GGGCUGCUCCUAGUACGAGAGGACCGGAGUGGACGCAUCACUGGUGUUCGGGUUGUCAUGCCAAUGGCACUGCCCGGUAGCUAAAUGCGGAAGAGAUAAGUGCUGAAAGCAUCUAAGCACGAAACUUGCCCCGAGAUGAGUUCUCCCUGACCCUUUAAGGGUCCUGAAGGAACGUUGAAGACGACGACGUUGAUAGGCCGGGUGUGUAAGCGCAGCGAUGCGUUGAGCUAACCGGUACUAAUGAACCGUGAGGCUUAACCUUACAACGCCGAAGGUGUUU